rnacentral:rRNA from 1 species
ACAGAACGACGCUGGCGGCAUGCCUAACACAUGCAAGUCGAACGAGACCUUCGGGUCUAGUGGCGCACGGGUGCGUAACACGUGGAAUUUGCCUCGGGGUAUGGAAUAACUCAGGGAAACUUGAGCUAAUACCAUAUAAUGUCUUCGGACCAAAGAUUUAUCGCCCUGAGAUAAGCCCGCGUAGGAUUAGCUAGUUGGUGAGGUAAGAGCUCACCCAAGGCGACGAUCCUUAGCUGGUCUGAGAGGAUGAUCAGCCACACUGGGACUGAGACACGGCCCAGACUCCUACGGGAGGCAGCAGUGGGGAAUAUUGGACAAUGGGCGAAAGCCUGAUCCAGCAAUGCCGCGUGAGUGAUGAAGGCCUUCGGGUUGUAAAGCUCUUUUGCCCGGGACGAUAAUGACGGUACCGGGAGAAUAAGCCCCGGCUAACUCCGUG